GACGAACGCUGGCGGCGUGCUUAACACAUGCAAGUCGAGCGAUGAAAGCCUUAUGAACUAUUCGUAGUGAUUGGGGCCGGAUUAGCGGCGGACGGGUGAGUAACGCGUGAGCAACCUGCCUUAAACAACGGGAUAGCCUCGGGAAACCGGGAUUAAUACCGUAUGAGACCCCGCCUUCACAUGAAGAAGAGGUUAAAGAUUAUCGGUUUAAGAUGGGCUCGCGUCUGAUUAGCUAGUUGGUGAGAUAAAAGCCCACCAAGGCAACGAUCAGUAAACGGCUUGAGAGAGUGAACGGUCACAUUGGAACUGAGACACGGUCCAAACUCCGACGGGAGGCAGCAGUGGGGAAUAUUACACAAUGGGGGAAACCCUGAUGCAGCGACGCCGCGUGAGCGAUGAAGGAAUUCGUUUCGUAAAGCUCUGUCCAAGGGGAAGAUAAUGACAGUACCCUUGGAGGAAGCCCCGGCUAAAUACGUGCCAGCCGCCGCCGUAA
rnacentral:rRNA from 1 species